AGUGAACGCUGGCGGUAGGCCUAACACAUGCAAGUCGAACGGCAGCACAGUAAGAGCUUGCUCUUACGGGUGGCGAGUGGCGGACGGGUGAGGAAUACAUCGGAAUCUACUUUUUCGUGGGGGAUAACGUAGGGAAACUUACGCUAAUACCGCAUACGACCUACGGGUGAAAGCAGGGGAUCUUCGGACCUUGCGCGAUUGAAUGAGCCGAUGUCGGAUUAGCUAGUUGGCGGGGUAAAGGCCCACCAAGGCGACGAUCCGUAGCUGGUCUGAGAGGAUGAUCAGCCACACGGGAACUGAGACACGGGCCAGACUCCUACGGGAGGCAGCAGUGGAGAAUAUUGGACAAGGGGCGCAAGCCUGAUCCAGCCAUACCGCGUGGGUGAAGAAGGCCUUCGGGUUGUAAAGCCCUUUUGUUGGGAAAGAAAUGCAGCAGGUUAAUACCCCGCUGUUCUGACGGUACCCAAAGAAUAAGCACCGGCUAACUUCG
rnacentral:rRNA from 1 species